rnacentral:rRNA from 2 species
UACGGAGGGUGCAAGCGUUAAUCGGAAUUACUGGGCGUAAAGCGCACGUAGGCGGCUUGUUAAGUCGGAUGUGAAAGCCCCGGGCUCAACCUGGGAAUGGCAUCCGAUACUGGCAAGCUAGAGUACAAGAGAGGGUGGUAGAAUUUCUAGUGUAGCGGUGAAAUGCGUAGAUAUUAGAAGGAAUACCGGUGGCGAAGGCGGCCACCUGGCUUGAUACUGACGCUGAGGUGCGAAAGCGUGGGGAGCAAACAGG